rnacentral:tRNA from 1 species
UCCUCGGUAGCUCAGCGGUAGAGCAUCCGACUGUUAAUCGGAUGGUCGUAGGUUCGAAUCCUACCCGGGGAGCCA